UUCUGUACCUUAAGAACGAUGAAGAAAACUGAAAUGAAAGCAAUGAAAUGGAUUGACCAAAAACUGGAGAAAAAAAAACAAAAGUUAAAAGUAGUUCCUAACAAAUUAAACAUUUCAAAUAAAUAAAACAGUAAUGAACAAUAGAAGCAGUAACUUACCUUCACGAGGAUGAACAAAACGGUCGAAGACACCGAAAACCCUAAACAGAGAGAACACACCGAAAACCC
rnacentral:lncRNA from 1 species